UGUUUAGAUCUUCUCAUUUUGUAUCAUAUGAUGGCAGGUAUAUCUACCGCUUUCUAUGUGGAUUGACUAGAUGUUACACAGAUAAUAUCUUGGCAUAUUAAGAGUCUAAGCAAUUUUGGGAUAUGUUGCUUUUUACUGCACGGCGAAAUAUCUUUCUCUUAAUGAGUAAGAAAGAAAUGUCAUCAGCAUG